UACGAAGGGGGCUAGCGUUGCUCGGAAUCACUGGGCGUAAAGGGCGCGUAGGCGGAUCUUUAAGUCGGAGGGAUGAACGCUGAGGCUCAACCUCAGAAUUGCCUUUGAUACUGAAGAUCUUGAGAUCGGAAGAGGUAAGUGGAACUGCGAGUGUAGAGGUGAAAUUCGUAGAUAUUCGCAAGAACACCAGUGGCGAAGGCGGCUUACUGGUCCGGUUCUGACGCUGAGGCGCGAAAGCGUGGGGAGCAAACAGG
rnacentral:rRNA from 1 species